rnacentral:misc_RNA from 1 species
UACACCCUCACCCCUCCCAACUUGUUGGGUGCGUUUGCUCUGUUUGCAAGCCUAGGGGUGGAUCUGGCUUCCCCAACCAGCCAUCAGGCAGAUUGGGUUGGCUGAAGUGCAGAGGCUUAAGCAAGGACCCGAUAUGGGCUUCAACUGGAUAGGUAGCACCGGCUUCUGCCGACUACACGAAGUUGUUGCUUGUGGAUCUUGCUAGAAGCCAAGUAGGAAUGUGCCUUUGGCAUACCUAAAC